AUUGAACGCUGGCGGCAGGCCUAACACAUGCAAGUCGAGCGGAUGAAGGGAGCUUGCUCCUGGAUUCAGCGGCGGACGGGUGAGUAAUGCAUAGGAAUCUGCCUGGUCGUGGGGGAUAACGUCCGGACACGGGCGCUAAUACCGCAUACGUCCUGAGGGUGAAAGUGGGGGAUCUUCGGACCUCACGCUAUCUGAUGAGCCUAGGACGGAUUAGCUAGUUGGUGGGGUAAAGGCCUACCAAGGCGACGAUCCGUAACUGGUCUGAGAGGAUGAUCAGCCACACUGGAACUGAGACACGGUCCAGACUCCUACGGGAGGCAACAGUGGGGAAUAUUGGGCAAUGGGCGAAAGCCUGAUCCAGCCAUGCCGCGUGUGUGAAGAAGGUCUUCGGAUUGUAAAGCACUUUAAGUUGGGAGGAACAGCAGUAAGUUAAUACCUUGCUGUUUUGACGUUACCAACAGAAUAAGCACCGGCUAACUUCGUG
rnacentral:rRNA from 1 species